GUAGUAUUCCCUCCGUCCCAAAAUUCUUGUCUUACAUUUAUUUAGAUACAGAUGUAUCUAACACUAAAAUGUAAGUAGAUACAUCCGUAUUUAGACAAAUUUAAGACAAGAAUUUUGGGACGGAGGGAGUACAAA
rnacentral:pre_miRNA from 1 species